UGUGAUGUGUUGAAAAUAGCUGAUGGCUGGAUUUUUGCAACUUGAGAGCUCCAACACACAAGAUCUGUGUGAUGCCUGGUGAAUCUUGUCAGUUGAGACAGCAUAAACCUAGAAUACUAAACUGGUGAUGAAAGCAUGUUUGUACUGAGCAGGUGAGCCAUGAUAUCUGGAUGUAGCAUCCCAAUUUUGUUGACAGUUUGGAAGUGGUGGUGAUUCUUGAUGAAGCUAUUGCAGUCAGGUAGAAAGAAAAUAAGCUUUUUAACCCAGCUCUGGGAGACCUCAGAUGCUCAAGAAUUCAGUGUUGGUGAAGGGGGUUACUGAAAUGUAGUGGGCAUGUGGAGACACUGAAAGUACUAUAAUUGCAAGGAUAGCUGUGGAGUGUGUAUUAAGAAUUGUGGUAUUGGAGAUAAUGGUGUAUUUCUGUUGGUGAGACAAUGACUAAUAUCAAAGAGACAUUUCCCCUUUGUGGUAGAGGUCUUGCAUGGGGUCUUGAUGGGUUUUCGUUCAGAGAGAGGAACUGGAAAUCCACCAUGAGGGAAAAUACCUUGUGUAACACAUCAGCCUUGGGUUAUAUUAGACCCUGCCUUGGAGUGUGUGGAACACUGUGUGAUAUCUGCCUGUGAGAUUGGGUGACUCACUCAAAAAGAGGCUUGGCUUUAAAACACUGUUUUGUCCUGAUGUACAGGGUCGUACUGAGGCUGURUGAGUGCAGUGAGCUUUAUUUAGAAAUUCCUGAAGUGAUAAUGAUGAUCUUUUUAGCCUGCCUGAAACAAGAUGCAGAGAUGACGGACCAUGCUGGUUUGAAUGUCCAGRUCGUGGCUGUGGUUCAAAUGAGUUUUCUGCUGGCUCCUGUGUGAAGAAAUUUAAUUUCAUCCUUGCAGUUAUUUUUUUCAUUUCACGGUAGAUGUAAUUGCUAACUGGGAUGCAAAUGUUUUAAUGCUCCAGGGUAGCUUGUUGUGGGAUAUUCUUUUUCUGCUUAUUUAUGAGAGUAUGUCUGGGGACUGGUGCAUUGGUCUGGAGUGUCUUGUGCCCCUUAGGGACCUCAGUGACCCUGGGCYGUUGGUUUCACAGGGCUUCUGUGACUCUGCCUGGCCAAGAAGCUAGGCAGUAAGCUUCUCUAGAGAUGUCACACUGGGUUAAGUGAAUUAGAUUCGGACUGUGCAGCCGGUGGUUCUUACCAGCUCCAGCAUGAUCCUUUUUAGCAGGUGGAUUAAGUCUAUCAGCUCUGCAGUCCCUGGCUUCCAUCAGUCUUGAGCCUGUGGAUUCAUUGGCACUGGAGAAGCUGGCGGUACAGGUAAAAACUUCAAAGAUUGAGGAAGAGGAUGCACUUGAGCUCCCCUCAAAGCACUUUAGAGAGGAAGUACAACUGACUCAUCUGAGAUUGUCUAUACAGCAAAUGCUGGUGGGAGCCAUAACACUUAGUAUAAGGACUCUGUUGUAGGCUGGAGGAAGAGGAAGACUACAAUAAACAGGACAACUGGUGCUCUCCCCACUUUCCUGGUUGCACAGUGGGACUUUUCCCACUGCUG